rnacentral:rRNA from 1 species
UACAGAGACUGCAAGCGUUUAUUCGGAUUCACUGGGCGUAAAGGGUGCGCAGGCGGCCGAGUGUGUGAGGCGUGAAAGCCCGGGGCUUAACCCCGGAAUUGCACCUCAAACUACACGGCUAGAGCAUUGGAGAGGGUAGCAGAAUUCAUGGUGUAGCAGUGAAAUGCGUAGAUAUCAUGAGGAAUACCAGAGGCGAAGGCGGCUACCUGGACAAUUGCUGACGCUCAGGCACGAAAGCGUGGGGAGCAAAAGGG